UACAGAGGGUGCGAGCGUUGUUCGGAAUUAUUGGGCGUAAAGCGCGCGCAGGCGGUUCCUUAAGUCUGAUGUGAAAGCCCACGGCUCAACCGUGGAGGGUCAUUGGAAACUGGGGAACUUGAGUGCAGAAGAGAAGAGCGGAAUUCCACGUGUAGCGGUGAAAUGCGUAGAGAUGUGGAGGAACACCAGUGGCGAAGGCGGCUCUUUGGUCUGUAACUGACGCUGAGGCACGAAAGCGUGGGGAGCAAACAGG
rnacentral:rRNA from 1 species